rnacentral:rRNA from 1 species
AGUAAAAGUCGUAACAAGGUCUCCGUUGGUGAACCAGCGGAGGGAUCAUUGCUGGAACAAACGCGCUCACGGGUGCUACCCAGAAACCCUUUGUGAACUAUACUUAAUCGUUGCCUCGGCAUUGGUUGACUUCGAAUGAAGUCCCUGUAUCCUUUGGGACACAGGAGCCGACCGGCCGACGGCCCCUAUAAACUCUUGUUUUUGUAUUAUCUUCUGAGUAAACAACUAUAAAUGAAUCAAAACUUUCAACAACGGAUCUCUUGGUUCUGGCAUCGAUGAAGAACGCAGCGAAAUGCGAUAAGUAAUGUGAAUUGCAGAAUUCAGUGAAUCAUCGAAUCUUUGAACGCACAUUGCGCCCAGUGGUAUUCCACUGGGCAUGCCUGUUCGAGCGUCAUUUCAACCCUCAAAAGCUUGCUUUUGGUGUUGGAGGAAUACCUGUAAAAGGGUACCCUCUGAAAUUUAGUGGCGGGCUCGCUAGAAUUUUGAGCGUAGUAAUUUUACCUCGUUUUUAAAGACUAGUGAGACUCUUUGCCGUAAAAACCCCCAACUUUCUGAAAUUUGACCUCGGAUCAGGUAGGAAUACCCGCUGAACUUAAGCAUA